GGAAGAUGCAGGUAGCAAGACAGUUGAUAAAGAAAGGGUGUGAAGAGUGUCCUAAGAAUGAGGAUGUUUGGUUGGAGGCAUGCCGAUUGGCGAGCCCCCUUGAGGCUAAGGCAGUGAUUGCUCAAGGUGUUAAAGCAAAUCCCAAUUCAGUCAAGUUGUGGAUGCAGGCUUCAAAGUUGGAGGAUGAUACAGCAAACAAGAGCCGUGUGUUGAGGAAAGGUCUAGAGCAUAUCCCUGAUUCAGUGAGGUUGUGGAAAGCUGUUGUGGAG
rnacentral:misc_RNA from 1 species